AGAGUUUGAUCAUGGCUCAGAUUGAACGCUGGCGGCAUGCCUUACACAUGCAAGUCGAACGGUAACAGGUUAAGCUGACGAGUGGCGAACGGGUGAGUAAUGUGUCGGAACGUGCCUAGUCGUGGGGGAUAACGUAGCGAAAGCUACGCUAAUACCGCAUACGAUCCAUGGAUGAAAGCGGGGGACCUUCGGGCCUCGCGCGAUUAGAGCGGCCGAUAUCAGAUUAGGUAGUUGGUGGGGUAAAGGCCCACCAAGCCGACGAUCUAUAGCUGGUCUGAGAGGAUGAUCAGCCACACUGGGACUGAGACACGGCCCAGACUCCUACGGGAGGCAGCAGUGGGGAAUUUUGGACAAUGGGCGCAAGCCUGAUCCAGCCAUUCCGCGUGCAGGACGAAGGCCUUCGGGUUGUAAACUGCUUUUGUACAGAACGAAAAGCCUUGGGUUAAUACCCUGAGGUCAUGACGGUACUGUAAGAAUAAGCACCGGCUAACUACGUGCCAGCAGCCGCGGUAAU
rnacentral:rRNA from 1 species